UCUCUACCGAUCUCCCUCUUCCUCUCCCGAUCUCGUAUUUCCUUUUACGGCAUAGAUUUUCCCGGAUUUUCUUUUACAAUUCGGAUUGUGAAAUCCAUUGAAUCUCCUCCCCAGAAAACAGACGCCUAUUCUUUCAUUCUCCUUUUCCCUGAAAAUUUUAGGGUUUUAUUGCUUUUUCUCGAGCUGAAAACUACGCAUUACUCUACAAUUUCAGCAUUCUGAGCUUUUCCAUGUCGAUUUGAUCUGCAUUCGAUUCGAUUCCCUGAAAGAAGAUAGCUGAUAGGCAGAGAUUUCAGCGUCUAACAUCGACAUACCAAAAUCGAGAUUUCAGCAAUCUCUAACGUAACUUGGAUGAGAAGGUGAAUGAUAGAGUCUUGUAUGAGAUUCUAGUUCAGGCAGGCCGAAUUGUAGACUUGUACAUACCUCGAGAUAGGGAAACCAGCCAUCCUAAGGGCUUUGCAUUUGCAGAAUAUGAAUCCGAAGAGAUCGCAGAUUAUGUUGUCAGGCUUUUCUCUGGCCUCAUCUCUCUUUACAAUAGAACACUGAAAUUUGCAAUAUCUGGGCAAGACAAGCCCUCUAAAAACAUGGCCGCUGCUCCGAUCACGCAUGCGUCGAACUUGCCUCCUAACCUGGGAUCACUGCCAAUGCAACUUAAGAAUACUGAAAAUUACCAACAGGCAGCUCAGUUUUUGACUCCCUGUAGGUUUUCAGUACACAUCAGAUCAGUCUCUCCUAAUUUUCUAGAAUCACCUCCCACUGGACUAGUAAGAAAUGGAAAUAGAUCAGAUGUCAACGACGACAAUUUCGAUUAUAGUAGGAGCAUUUACAGGGGGGCAUUGGAUGGCAUUUGAGACUCAUCCAAGACAAGCAAUCUAUGGUUCCAGAAAACCCAUUUGCCUAUUUCUCCUGCUAAUCUCUGCUAGGUAAUGUAUCUCUUAGCUCAACUGUGUGUAUGGCUAGAUUAAUAUCCUUUCUCUGCGGCUCAAUUCGUAGUACUCUUCGGGUGGGAAGACAGAAGCACUUGCAGUCAGCUAGGAAAGCCUCUUCGCUAUUUAGUUUUAGCAAGUAAAUUAGCAGUUACAUUAGUUUGUUUGGGUUAGUUGAUUA